rnacentral:lncRNA from 10 species
AAUGAAUGAAUAAAAAAGUAAGUCCUCUGUCCCUGGUGUUAUCCUAGAAGAAGCUGAACAACAGGUGCUGACCAGGGCCUUGGCUGCAAAGUUGCUCUCCCCUUACUCCAAUGCAGGAGCUCUGGGGGUCCCGUGGAGGGCCCUGCGGGCAGGACAGCUUCCCAGUGUCCCAAACUCUGAGGGUUUGUGCUUCUGCAGCUCACUCCCAAGUUUGGGCAGCACCCUUGAUGGAAACGGGCAGACUGCAUGGACUUGGCCUCAGGCAGGUGAAGUCCGUGGGACAUUCCCAAGGUUGGAGAGGCAGAGCAGCAAGGGAGAGGCUAAGUGGGAGUCACGCUGCUUUUGAUAAACUAGUGAUGCCAGCCGGGUGUGGUGGCUUACACCUGUAAUGCCAGCACUUUGGAAGGACAAGGGGGUCCGAUCACCUGAGGUCAAUAGUUCGAGACCAGCCUGGCCAACAUGGUGAAACCUUGUCUCUACUAAAAAUACAAAAAAUUAGCUG